AUAUCUCUCUGUACGGGAAGGAUGAGAAGCUUCGACCAAGGUUCGAUUCGAGCGCAGCGAGAAAGCGUUGCCGCAGGCAGCGACCCGAAGGGCGAAGCGCGCAGCGCUGAGUCAUCCUUCCCCCACCACCA
rnacentral:sRNA from 1 species